ACCUUUCGCCUUGGCGGCGCGGGCCCGUAGGGCUGGACGGCGUCGGUGUGCUGCCCCGUCGUGGCCUGGACUGCCUGCAGUGUUGGCUGCGCACGGUUGGAGGUAUGCGGGCGUGCGGUCACAAUGCGUGCCGUGGGCGCUGGCUUUCGAGAGUGACCCAUUGGACCCGUCUUGAAACACGGACCAAGGAGUGCAGCACGCGUGCGAGUCUUUGGCCGGAAUGGCCGCCAGGCGCAGUGAGAGCGAAGGUGUGCUCUUUGCGCACCGAGGCGAGAGCCCCGUGCCGUGUGGCCGGGCCCAUCGCCGACCGGUCCCAUGCACGCCGUGCCGGGAUUCGAGUGAGAGCGCGCGUGCUGCGACCCGAAAGAUGGUGAACUAUGCCCGAGCAGGGCGAAGCCAGGGGAAACCCUGGUGGAGGCCCGCAGCGGUUCUGACGUGCAAAUCGAUCGUCUGACUUGGGUAUAGGGGCGAAAGACUAAUCGAACCGUCUAGUAGCUGGUUCCCUCCGAAGUUUCCCUCAGGAUAGCUGGAACCCGUCCGGUGCAGUUUUAUCAGGUAAAGCGAAUGAUUAGAGGCCUUGGGGCUGAAACAGCCUCAACCUAUUCUCAAACUUUAAAUAGGUAAGAAGGCGGUCUUGCUCGAGUGAAGUCCGCCGUGGAAUGCCCGGGUUCCAAGUGGGCCAUUUUUGGUAAGCAGAACUGGCGCUGUGGGAUGAACCAAACGCCCGGUUAAGGCGCCUAAACGACGCACAUUUCGGAUCCCACGAAAAGGAGUUGGUUGCUAAAGACAGCAGGACGGUGGCCAUGGAGGUCGGAAUCCGCUCAGGAGUGUGUAACAACUCACCUGCCGAAGCAACUAGCCCUUAAAAUGGGAGGCGCUAUAGCGUCGUGCCUAUACCGGGCCGUCGGUCGGCAGAGCGAAUAACGUCCGUGUCAGCCCGAAGAGAGCGACGGCGCUUAGGCCCCGACGAGUAGGGGGGUCGCGACGGUGAGCGUUGAAGGGUUGUGGGCGUGAGCCUGCCCGGAGCCGCCGUCGGUGCAGAUCUUGGUGGUAGUAGCAACGAUUCAAAUGAGAACUUUGAAGACUGAAGUGGGGAAGGGUUCCGCGUGAACAGCAUUUGGACGUGGGUGAGUCGGUCCUGAGGGACGGGUUAACUCCUUCCCAGUGCGCGCGGGCUCCCGCCCUCGGCGGGGUCGGUCUGCGCUGGUCCCGAAAGGGAAUCGGGUCAACAUUCCCGAACCGGAAUGCAGUGUCGGCGUUCGGUCCCUGCGGCCGUCUGCCUCGGCGGCGACGCGUGCGAGCUCGGAGACGCCGGCGCGAGUCCCGGGAAGAGUUCUCUUUUCUUUUCGACAGGCGGUACACCCUGGAAGGGGAUUGCCCCGAGAUAGGGUCGCCCCCCUGGCCAAGCGUCGCACCUCUGGCGGCGUCCGGUGCACUCGCGUGGGCCCGUGAAAAUCCGAGGGAGCGGAUUGCACUGACAUCCGGCCGUACCCAUAACCGCAGCAGGUCUCCAAGGUGAACAGCCUCUAGUCGAUGGAACAAUGUAGGUAAGGGAAGUCGGCAAAUUGGAUCCGUAACUUCGGGACAAGGAUUGGCUCUAAGGGCUGGGUCUGUCGGGCUUCGUCCGGAGGCCGGAGGAACCGCGCGCGUCUGGGUGAGCGGCCCCUCCGGGGGAUGCAAUCCCGGAAGUGCGAGGGACAGCUGGCCGAAAGUCGAAGCUUGGCCUUCGCGGGCCGAUCGGCAGGCGACGAACAGCCACCUUAGAACUGGAACGGACAAGGGGAAUCCGACUGUUUAAUUAAAACAAAGCAUUGCGAUGGCCGAAACCGGUGUUGACGCAAUGUGAUUUCUGCCCAGUGCUCUGAAUGUCAAAGUGAAGAAAUUCGACCAAGCACGGGUAAACGGCGGGAGUAACUAUGACUCUCUUAAGGUAGCCAAAUGCCUCGUCAUCUAAUUAGUGACGCGCAUGAAUGGAUUAACGAGAUUCCCACUGUCCCUAUCUACUAUCUAGCGAAACCGCAGCCAAGGGAACGGACUUGGCGUAAUCAGCGGGGAAAGAAGACCCUGUUGAGCUUGACUCUAGUCCGACUCUGUGGAAAGACAUGAGAGGUGUAGGAUAGGUGGGAGCCCCGGCGCCGGUGAAAUACCACUACUUUCAUCGUUUUUUUACUUAUUCAAUGGGGCGGAAGCGGGCCUCACGGCCCACCUUCUGGCGUUAAGGCACCCCGGCGUGCCGAUCCGAGUUGAAGACAGUGUCAGAUGGGGAGUUUGGCUGGGGCGGCACAUCUGUCAAACGAUAACGCAGGUGUCCUAAGG
rnacentral:rRNA from 1 species